UACGUAGGGUGCAGGCGUUAAUCGGAAUUACUGGGCGUAAAGCGUGCGCAGGCGGUUUGCUAAGACAGGUGUGAAAUCCCCGGGCUUAACCUGGGAAUGGCAUUUGGGACUGCAAGGCUGGAGUGCGGCAGAGGAGACUGGAAUUCCUGGUGUAGCAGUGAAAUGCGUAGAUAUCAGGAGGAAUACCGAUGGCGAAGGCAGGUCUCUGGGCUGACACUGACGCUCAUGCACGAAAGCGUGGGGAGCAAACAGG
rnacentral:rRNA from 1 species